AACCAUUCAAAAUCUUUACAAGCACCCUAGACAUAAUAAAUAUCCCACAAAACAAACAAUAAUAGUUUAUUUCUGCCAUCUUUCCAGUAAUGUAUAUACUAAAGCAUAAGUACAGGAGUCUCUCAUGUGAAUCAUGAAUGUGAGUCUAAACAGAAAAUGCUUAGAAAAUUGUAAAAUAUUAAACAUCUAUUCUCCUCAACUGAUCAAAAAACUAAGUGAAGUAUAUUAGAGGACAUUCUCUCCACUCCCCAUAACCCAGCAGCCCAAAACAUACCCCCUUGUUGUUGGUCAUUCUCUCGACUUCCAAUAAUCUUAAGCAAGUACCUGCAAGAGAAUCAAGAAAAUCAUAUUAAUAAUCUUUAAGCUCAUAAUAUCAGGUGGGAUGACUUUGAGUUGAAGAUUAUACAUAUCAAUGCUUUUUGCCCCACCCCCAAAAGAAAACAAACCAAUUCAAGGGGAAAAGGCACUGUAGCCUGAGCACAACCCACCAAUCCCCAUGUAAAUAUGUUAAUUAUAACUCCACAAAAUGGCCUAAAAAGAGAAGAUCUUUCACAUUAGAGGGGCAAAUUAAUACUUUGCCAACACACCAAAUAUAAUAAACACAUCUCGAAAAUAAGGAGUUAUGUACAUACAUAGUAAUGUUUUUAACAAUUGCUCACUAAUUGAUUCUCCAUCCAUUUUACAUUAUUUGGAACAUUUUGUACUUAAAAAAUAAUAAGUAUAUGUUACUAUAUCAAUCAAAUUUGAUUUCAUUCAUUUACUAUUAAAACCAUCUACACCUAAAUCAAUGCAUGUAAACUAAAAAUUACACUGAUUUGCAUUCCUCAAAAGUCAAGUGAAUAAAUUUGAGACCUAGGUACCCCAAGAAAGCAAACAUAUUUAUCUUUUAUUGGGGUAUGGCAGAAACCAUAAAAUGUGUUAUGUAACAAGUAAAAAGAUUAGCUUAGACAAACUGUCCACCCAUUAAGACAUUGUG
rnacentral:lncRNA from 1 species